rnacentral:rRNA from 1 species
GGGGGGGACCAGGGAUUUCCAGGGUUGGNGGCAUGGUUUGUUCGUCAAGCUUCGGGGUUCGNAANAAUGUUUGGGUUAAGUCCCGCAACGAAGCGCAACCCUUGGUUCUAGUUGCCAGCAUUCAGUUGGGCCCUUUAGAGCGACUGCCGGCGACAAGUCGGAGGAAGGUGGGGAUGACGUCAAAUCAUCAUGCCCCUUAUGACCUGGGCUACACACGUGCUACAAUGGAUGGUACAAAGGGCAGCGAAGCGGCGACGCAUAAGCGAAUCCCAGAAAACCAUUCUCAGUUCGGAUUGCAGGCUGCAACUCGCCUGCAUGAAGCCGGAAUCGCUAGUAAUCGCGGAUCAGCAUGCCGCGGUGAAUACGUUCCCGGGCCUUGUACACACCGCCCGUCACACCACGAGAGUUUGUAACACCCGAAGUCGGUGAGGUAACCGCAAGGAGCCAGCCGCCGAAGGAAGAACAGAUGAUUGGGGUGAAGUCGUACCGANGUACCANGUCGGUNCNNUNNCCGUNGAAANCCUNCCCCCUU